rnacentral:misc_RNA from 1 species
GAAACCUCUCAACCAUCCUUUGAGGUGGCUUGGAAAUGGGGGAUUGUUGCAGGCUGAAGUCUGCUCCCCUGAAAUGCAUUAGUGGUGUCUGGGCUAACCAACCACAGGUGUGAUAACUAUCAAUGCCUUGGUGGAAACCUUGCUGCUUCCAACUCUCAUAUGACCA